rnacentral:rRNA from 1 species
UACGAAGGGGGCUAGCGUUGUUCGGAAUUACUGGGCGUAAAGCGCGCGCAGGCGGUUCUUCAAGUCAGAGGUGAAAGCCCAGAGCUCAACUCUGGAAUGGCCUUUGAGACUAGAGAACUAGGGUACGGGAGAGGUGAGUGGAAUUCCGAGUGUAGAGGUGAAAUUCGUAGAUAUUCGGAAGAACACCAGUGGCGAAGGCGGCUCACUGGCCCGUUACCGACGCUCAGGCGCGACAGCGUGGGGAGCAAACAGGAUUAGAUACCCUGGUAGUCCACGCCGUAAACGAUGGAUGCUAGCCGUUGGUAAGCAUGCUUAUCAGUGGCGCAGCUAACGCAUUAAGCGUCCCGCCUGGGGAGUACGGCCGCAAGGUUGAA